GUGCCAGCAGCCGUGGUAAUUCCAGCUCCAAUAGCGUAUAUUAAAGUUGUUGUGGUUAAAAAGCUCGUAGUUGAACCUUGGGCCUGGCUGGCCGGUCCGCCUCACCGCGUGCACUGGUCCGGCCGGGCCUUUCCCUCUGUGGAACCCCAUACCCUUCACUGGGCGUGGCGGGGAAACAGGACAUUUACUUUGAAAAAAUUAGAGUGCUCCAGGCAGGCCUAUGCUCGAAUACAUUAGCAUGGGAUAAUAAAAUAGGACGCGCGGGUCUCUUUUGUUGAUUUAUAGGACCGCCGUAAUGAUUAAUAGGGACGGUCGGGGGCAUCAGUAUUCAACUGUCAGGAGGUGAAAUUCUUGGAUCAGUUGAAGACUAACUACUGCGAAAGCAGUUGCCAAGGAUGUUUUCAUUAAUCAGGAACGAAAGUUAGGGGGUCGAAGAGGGAUGAGAUGGCCGUCGUAGUCUUAAGCAUAAACUAUGCCGACUAGGGAUCGGACGGUGUUAUUCAUGACCCGUCUCGGCACCCUAACGAGAAAUCAAAGUGCUUGGG
rnacentral:rRNA from 1 species